AGGGUGUAAACGCUGCAGACUUGGUGUUGGAAGUCCUUUGGGGGCAUUCAGUGCCGGAGAGAAGUUGUUAAGUCUGCUACUUGGGGAGUACGUCCGCAAGGAUGAAACUUAAAGGAAUUGGCGGGGGAGCACCGCAACGGGAGGAGCGUGCGGUUUAAUUGGAUUCAACACCAUAAAACCCACCAGGGAAGACUGUUACAUGAAAGCCGAGAUGAAGACUCUGCUAGAUUUUCAGAGAGGAGGUGCAUGGCGUCAGUGACU
rnacentral:rRNA from 1 species